CGCGGCCGGGGAGGACGCCGCGGGGGCGCCGGAGCCCGCGCCCUGCGCCCGGCCGGGGCCCGCAUCACCUCAGGCGCGGCGCGGGCGGCGGGCGCGGGGCCUGGGCGGCGGCGCGGGCGGGCGGGCGGGCGCCGAGCGGGGGCGGGGCCUGCCUUAAAGGUAUAGCGGCCGCGCCGCCUCCCGCAGGUCGCCCGUGCCGCGCCGGCGCUGUAUUGUUCUCGCCGCCAACGGCGUGUUCCCGCUCCCGCUCCCGCUCCCGCUCCCGCUCCCGCUCCCGGGCUCCGGCCGCCCCGCGUCCCCGCGCCCAGCGAGCGGCUUCCCGGCAGCGAGAGGGGCCCCGGCCGCCCGCCAUAGGCUGGAGGGAGCGGUGGCGGGGAAGGAACCCCGCCCGCGGCCAGCCUAGCGCGCUCCUGGGGUCAGAAACCUGGUCCCGGUGGCUUUCGCGGAGGGAAAGCAACUUUCCUAGUGUCCUAGUGGAGUUUUCUCCGGGAACGGGCUCUACGCCGUCGAGCAGACGUUUCCCAGCGGCCCCUCUGGGCUCCGGGCAGCGGCAGGUGACCUCCCGGGGACGAGGCCGGGGCGCAGAGAAACCCAGCCCCGCUCCCGCCAGUGUGGACCCCCAGAACCACUGGCACCCAGAUCAUGGAUAACCUAACGGUUGCUGGCAUGAGCUGAACAAAGGAAACAGCCUACUGUCACUCUGCUCUUCUAGGAUUUUGCCAGGAGGAUUUUGGUCCUGCCAAACGGACCUCUUAGUGGAAGUCCUUAUAAAGCAUAAUUUUCAAAAAAGGAAGUCGGUUUCACGCUGGGCGCAGUGGAUUGCUGAGGCCGUGGCUCCGCGGCGAACUGGCUAACAGGCCUUCUUUCUCUCAGGAGCCAUAACCUGAGCUCACUACUGCUAAAAACCUUUCUAGAGAUCAACUGAGGGAACAGGAUGUUUUCUCCAGCGGUGGAUGAAAUCAGUGUUUAAUGCUACACAGGCCCAGCUGUGUCCAUAUAAGGAAAGCCCAGGCUCACGUCUCUCCGUGAAAAAGGACCUGUCCUCCCCUCCCUGUGUUCUGCUUCCACCCACUGCGUGUGGAGGUGGAGAGUGGGAGCCGGGGAAUGUGAACUUGAUCCAGCACUGAUCAGCCAAGCAGCAAACGCUCAUUGUUCUUUAGAUACCAAACAUAACUUCUUUCUACUAGGGAUAAACCCAGCCGUUCUGUACAUAACACAGCUUUUGUGCUCACCAGUAUGCUAGUUGGAAAAGAACCACAAAGAACGUUAGCGUUUUAUUAGACACCUCCUAAUAUGCAGAAUGAAGAACCUACCCAGUUAAUUUAUAUUCAUAUUAAUAUUAGGUAUGUUAGAAUCUUAUUAAAUCUAUCUUCUAGGAGUUUCUGAAUGCUUUUAUAAUUAUGGAUUUCAAUUUAUUAUGUAAAUAUUAUGGCCUGUUCUGCCUUCUAUGAGAGCAUUUCUUACCAUCACUGCCUUGAUCUCUGCAGUUCAAGGAUACUGGAAAUCAUGAUAAAGGACAACCAAAUAUACGGUUGCUGUUUUUACAGGUCACUCUGUAAAUGUGACUGAACUGUUUCCGUACGAAGCCAGGGUGUCAUGGGAAGUCCACAGUUGGGAACUUAGACUCUGUCAUUGCCACCAAGAAGCUCUGUGGCCUUGGACGUGCAUGUCAACCUCUGAGCUAUGAAACAGAAACAAUGCUGCAGUGAAGACAAAAUGAAACAGAAGUAAUGCUGCGGUGAAGACAAAAUGAAAUGGUGCAUACAGCAAAAGGCACAAAAUAGACCAGUAAACGCAAAUCCCUUCCCCUUUCCCCUCAGAAACAAAAGCCUAUCAAGUAUUCUGAACCUAAAUAAAUUUUUGAAGGUAUCAAAAUAACUGAGUUGUGACGUCAUAAUAAAAAGCCUGGCCUGACAAGCGCGCAGGCCCAACGCCCUUGUCCAGAGCCCGCAAAGACACAGCACAUCUGAGCUCCACAAACAAGUGUGUGUCCCUUCCAGUGACAACCAAUGGACGUGAAAAAGAAGUUCUGUUUCUCGUAUGUCUUAUUAUAAAGGAGAUAACGGCCGGGCGC